rnacentral:rRNA from 1 species
UACGUAGGGCGCAAGCGUUGUCCGGAAUUAUUGGGCGUAAAGGGUGUGUAGGUGGCGCGCUAAGUCGGGUGUGAAAUUUCGGAGCUUAACUCCGAAACUGCAUUCGAUACUGGCGUGCUUGAGGACUGGAGAGGAGACUGGAAUUCAUGGUGUAGCAGUGAAAUGCGUAGAGAUCAUGAGGAAGACCAGUGGCGAAGGCGGGUCUCUGGACAGUUCCUGACACUGAGACACGAAGGCCAGGGGAGCAAACGGG